rnacentral:rRNA from 1 species
ACUUACCAGGUCAAGACAUGGGCGUGAUUGACAGGCUAAUGACUUUUCUCGAUUCCAUGGAUGGUGGUGCAUGGUCGCACUUAGUUGGUGCAGUGAUUUGUCAGGUUUAUUCCGGUAACGAACGAGACCUCGGCCUUGUAAAUAGCUAUGCUGCUUACAGGGACAUUGGCGGCUACGCCAAGGAAGCUCGAGGCAAUUGCAGAUCUGGAAUGCCCUUAGAUGUCCUGGGUCGCACGCGUGCUACAAUGACGCCACGAACGAGCUUGCGUGAUGAAAGUUACGCAUAAUCAGCAGUCGGCGUCUUAAGGGAUAGUCUCUUGUAACUGUGGGACUCCAACUAGGAAUGUCUCGUAAGCACAAGUCAACAUCUUGUGUUGAUUACGUCCCUGCUCUUUGUACACACCGCCCGUCGCUCCUACCGAUCGAGUGUUUAGGUGAAUUUGAUGGACGUAAGGAAGUCAAAUAAACCUGAGCACUAGAGGAAGGAGAAGUCUACGGCC